rnacentral:rRNA from 1 species
GACGAACGCUGGCGGCGUGCUUAACACAUGCAAGUCGAACGGAAAGGCCCUUCGGGGUACUCGAGUGGCGAAGGGGUGAGUAACACGUGGGUGAUCUGCCCUGCACUUUGGGUUAAGCCUGGGAAACUGGGUCUAAUACCGAAUAGGACCACGGGCUUCCUGGCGUGUGGUGGAAAGCUGUUGCGGUGUGGGAUGGGCGCGCGGCUUAUCAGGUUGUUGGUGGGGUAAUGGCCUACCGAGGCGACGACGGGUAGCCGGCCUGGGAGGGUGACCGGCGACACUGGGACUGAGGGACGGACCAGACGCCUACGGGGGGCAGCAGUGGGGAGUAUGGCACAAUGGGCGCAAGCCUGAUGCAGCGACGCCGGGUGAGGGAUGACGGCCUGCGGGUUGUAAACCUCUGUCGGUAGGGACGAAGCGCAAGUGACGGUACCUAUAGAAGAAGCACCGGCCAACUACGUG